UCAACAGGCUCUGAGUGGGAAUCCUGCCGUGUUCCUGAAAGCAUGAGAUCAUUUUCUCCAUGAUUGUGCUGUAGCAUGGACUGUUUGAGAGGAUUAUCCAUUGCUGAAGGGGUGUGUGACUGUAGGCUGGAGUCAUAAAAAAAUGCAAAAGCAACUGGUGUGAGAGCCUAAUGGAACAUAAAGCUGUCAAUAUCUCUCCUUUGAUUAAAAUAAUUACUUUGGUCAUGCAAAGGCAGAACACUGUGUACAAAGUUCACAGACUUCAGGACCUCAACCAAAACUGAGAACUAAUUAACUCAAGGAGAAACAGUUUUGCCUGAAAUACCUCAGGACAUAUAAAAUACCAUUCAUUCUCAAGAUUUUAGUAAGAUUAGAUCUGAUGAGCAUCGAGGCACUCUUGAGUCCAAAAGCUUGUGUCUGUGUUUCCCUCCACGUUUGUUGUCCCAAUAGAUAUUUAUUCUUCCCAGAACUACCUUUAAGCUAAACACUAAUUUCUUGAUAACAAAAUGGGAAAGUAACAGCCAAAAAUAACUGAAGGGUCCCCCUGUUAUCAGAGGGCUCAGACCUUUUCUUUCUGCUAAAGGAAAGAAAAUAGAAAGUUUUAUUCUUGAGUCAGGUUAUUUUGCUGUGAUUUCUUGCUUGCUUGACCUAAUCAGAAUGCCUAGUGGCAAGCAGUGUCAGCUGAGGCAGUAAGUUAAACAGCUGAAACCUUCACUGUCUGGCAGUGUUCUAUCCUCAGUAGGGGCUUCUGGUUUUACAGGCCUGGAGGGUAAGUUCCUGCACUUGAAAAACAGUUCAAUAGAAUCUCUGGAGGCAACAAGUUAAUGACCAAAGAUUUUAAUGGUCUACAACAAUUGAUGAGUGUAAAUUUAAGCUCUGUGGGACUUAUCUGAGAGAAACUGAUGAAAAGGUACUAUGUGAAGGUAGCUGUUCCAGAGAUAAUGUCCACUAGGUAUUGCACUAUGUCUGAACUUGAAGAGUAAAGCAAGGCUGUAAAAUCACCGACAAUGUUCCUCAGGAUGCAGCCAAGAAAGGAAAUAUUUAUGGACUGCUUAGGUAGCUUUGGAUCAGAUGAUGCUGAAGUGCAUUUUUCAAAUGGUUGCUGAAGAAGCCAUUCCUGUAAUCUUCUCCUGCUACGAAAGUUUGGCUAUGCAAAUCCAGUACAAAUACCUGCAGAUGUGAGCUGAAAUCCACUUUAUUGCGUUACUGUCAAUAGGAAACAAAAGAGUGUAAAAGCUGCUACUCUCUUCCUGCAGAUUUCCAAUCUUACAUCCUGUUCUUUGCCAUGCUGACAUGAUCAAACCUGGAAUGAGACUGUUAAAGACAUUGUUUCCAGCUGCCUCUCUCAUCACAAUCUCACAGGAAUGCUGGGAAAUAUACAGUUAGGGAUAUCUAAACCAGGUGAAGCUGUUUGCAAAUUCAAAUUCCUUCCCUGGUAACAUAGUAGCAUCCACAGUGCAGAAAAGAAUAAGGGCAGUGUUCUGGAAACAGUUGCUCAGCAUAGCCUCUGGAAAGGGAAAUCCAACCCCAAUGGGCGGCUGGAAUUCUCUGAAGGUGCCUCUAAGCACAAGAAGAAAUGACAACCAUUUGGCUUUUAUUUUUUAAAAAUUUUCCUGAAAAUUAUGAAGAAUGGAUAAAGUGAAUGCAGAACUGUUAUUUUAAAAAUAUAUCAAUAAUUAACCUAUUGUGAAUCAGGGACACUUUUUGAAACAAUAGGAAAUCAGUUUCAGCUAAACAUAAGGAAGGUCGUAUUAAAUAAAAACACAGAAGAAUAAAGCUUGCUUGAUUUUGUUAUUUCCUAAAUGGUAAAUAGUCCUGCUUUUUGGGGUUUUUUUCUCUCUCUCCUCCCUGUAUAAAGAAUUUGCAAGUCUAGGCAAGUCUGUUUGGCAGCAAGUGUUCAGUCAUGCUUGUAAUGAUAGUUCUAAUCACAAUUCAUGAGGUAUCAUGCAUUCAGGUAUGAUUCAUCCAACAAGAAAAUAUUCUGAAAAGAAGCAAAAAUAAAUUAAAUGGAGUCUGGUAUUCUAAAGGUUGAAGAAAUGAAUAGACUUGAGGUCAUUUCCCUUCUAUUCAUAGCAGAGUUAUUAGAGGACACAUGGAGAUUUGGGAGAGAUCCCAUCAAGGGGGGCAAAGGAAUUGAAACACUAGAAGCAAGGACAUUUGAUGCCAUGUAAUAGAUUUUUCUAUAUU